CAUAACUGCACCCUGAGCAGGUCCUCAAGGAAUCCAUUUUGGAGCACUUGAAGGAGAGAAAAGUCACCAGGAACAGUCAACAUGGAUUCACCAAGGGCAAGUCAUGCCUGACCAAUCUGAUUGCCUUCUUUGAUGAGAUAACUGGCUCUGUGGAUAUAGGGAAAGUGGUGGAC